rnacentral:rRNA from 1 species
CAGCCCCUCGAGUGGUGGGGAUGAUUAUUUGGCCUAAAGCGUCCGUAGCCGGCCGAGCAAGUCUUCCGUUAAAUCCAGCGUCUCAAGCGUUGGACCGCGGGAGAUACUACACGGCUAGAGAGUGGGAGAGGUCAGCGGUAUUCUGGGGGUAGGGGCGAAAUCCUUUGAUCCCCGGAGGACCACCAGUGGCGAAGGCUGCUGACUAGAACACGUCUGACGGUCAGGGACGAAAGCUGGGGUAGCAAACCGGAUUAGAGACCCGAGUAGUCC